AUUGAACGCUGGCGGCAUGCCUUACGCAUGCAAGUCGAACGGUAACAGGUCUUCGGAUGCUGACGAGUGGCGAACGGGUGAGUAAUACAUCGGAACGUGCCUAGUAGUGGGGGAUAACUACUCGAAAGAGUGGCUAAUACCGCAUGAGAUCUACGGAUGAAAGCAGGGGAUCGCAAGACCUUGUGUCACUAGAGCGGCCGAUGGCAGAUUAGGUAGUUGGUGGGAUAAAAGCUUACCAAGCCGACGAUCUGUAGCUGGUCUGAGAGGACGAUCAGCCACACUGGGACUGGGACACGGCCCAGACUCCUACGGGAGGCAGCGGUGGGGAAUUUUGGACAAUGGGCGAAAGCCUGAUCCAGCAAUGCCGCGUGCAGGAUGAAGGCCUUCGGGUUGUAAACUGCUUUUGUACGGAACGAAAAGCCCCGGGUUAAUACCCUGGGGUCAUGACGGUACCGUAAGAAUAAGCACCGGCUAACUACGUGCCAGCAGCCGCAGUAA
rnacentral:rRNA from 1 species